rnacentral:rRNA from 1 species
CCUACGGGAGGCAGCAGUGGGGAAUAUUGGACAAUGGGCGAAAGCCUGAUCCAGCAAUGCCGCGUGAGUGAUGAAGGCCUUAGGGUUGUAAAGCUCUUUUACCAGGGAUGAUAAUGACAGUACCUGGAGAAUAAGCUCCGGCUAACUCCGUGCCAGCAGCCGCGGUAAUACGGAGGGAGCUAGCGUUGUUCGGAAUUACUGGGCGUAAAGCGUACGUAGGCGGUUAUUCAAGUCAGAGGUGAAAGCCUGGAGCUCAACUCCAGAACUGCCUUUGAAACUAGAUAGCUAGAAUCUUGGAGAGGUGAGUGGAAUUCCGAGUGUAGAGGUGAAAUUCGUAGAUAUUCGGAAGAACACCAGUGGCGAAGGCGACUCACUGGACAAGUAUUGACGCUGAGGUACGAAAGCGUGGGGAGCAAACAGGAUUAGAUACCCUGGUAGUCCACGCCGUAAACGAUGAUAACUAGCUGUUCGGGCUCUACGAGCUUGAGUGGCGCAGCUAACGCAUUAAGUUAUCCGCCUGGGGAGUACGGUCGCAAGAUUAAAACUCAAAUUGAAUUGACGG